UCACAUUAAUAAGUAUUUGGGGUGAGGGAAACAAAUAACAUAGUUGCAAGUUCUGCAAUAUUCUAUUUGAAAUAUUAUUAAGGCCUUAACUAAGAUAUGGUCAAUUAGGCUGAAAAGGAAGGGUUGCAAAUAAAAUAAGAUUUAUGGAAUUAAUAAGACACGGGAAUAAAUUAAAUGUAGAGAGGUAUGAGCAGAGGUAACAUUCAUGUUUCUGGUGUGACUGUCCAGGUGAAUGUGCAAGUUGCUACAAUAAACACUGAAGAAGUAGAAUGCUCUGUGUUUGGCCAGCCUAGGAGGCCCAUUCAAGAUACCAUCAAUCAGAGCAAUUUGGCUUCAGCUUUGAAGCAACAACUUUUGAAAGAGGAGGUGCCAAUCAUGACCCAUUCUUGGACAUGAAAGAUGGAAUCAAACCCACUCAUCCUACAGGCUGGGAAAUAAUGACACAGAAAUAGAUGAUGAGGAGGCAGUCAGCAAUGCUCAUUGUAUUCCUAUAACAAUGCUAUCUUUAAAAUAAGUCAUUAUAAAAUUCCAUACUAAUUGCCAAUUAAAAAUCAUAUACAUAUUUUACUAUGGAUUAUUUUCAAACUAUGAAAGUGCUAGUUAUUGCAACAAAACAAACCACAUAGGAAGAUAAAUAAUCACACAUUUCCUUCUAUGCAAACCCUCAUUCUGUCUAGUCAAUCACCAGUUUAAGAACAACCUCCAUAACUAUCAGAGAUAUUUGACUAAAAAUUAUAUUGAGUGCAUAAUACAUAUUCAUUUUUCUGAAGAACAAAGAAAAGUACCUUCUCUGGUUUCUUUUUAUAAAUGUAGUCUUUUACUUCUAUAACUUUUUUAUUGAGAAGUAAAACUCACAUAGAGAAAAACUGAAUAUGCUUGCCAUGGUGGCUCAUGCCUAUAAUCUGAGCACUUUGGGAGGCCGAGGCUAGUGGAUCACCUGAGGUCAGGAGUUUAAGACCACCCUGGCCAACAUGGUGAAACUGCAACUCUACUAAAAAUACAAUAAUUAGCAGAUGUGGUGGUGCAUGCCUGUAAUCCCAGCUACCUUAGAUGCUGAGGCAGGAGAAUCACUUGAACCUGGGAGGUGAAGGUUGCAGUGAGCCGAGAUGUGCUACUGCACUCUAGCCUAGGUGAACAAGAGAGAGUCUCUCUUAAAAAAAAAAAAGAAAAAGAGAGAGAGAGAAUAUGAGUUCAGUGACACACAUUGUUUUAAAAAAUAACUCCUCCCUAAAACAAAUCCUCCUAUAUCAUCAUUAUCUAAGAUAAGAAAUAAAACAUUCUGAUACCCCCAGAAACAUUCUACUUAAUUCCACUACUCUCCUUAAAACCACCAUGUAGGCUUACAGUAUUCACACAUAUCUUUGUAGGAUUGCACUUGAAUAUGCAUCUCUGUAUUUAAGUGUUUCAUUUUGCCUACUUCCAAUAUUAAUAAAUAGAAUUGUACAGUAAGU
rnacentral:lncRNA from 1 species